CUGUCCCCUAGAGUUCCCUUGAGCACUUCACUGGGAUGAAAAAAGGUCCAGUCUUCCUUCCUACUGAAGUGUUUGGGGGAACUCCUGGUGUCAU
rfam:Ricinus communis cultivar Hale ctg_1100012351612, whole genome shotgun sequence.